rnacentral:lncRNA from 1 species
UACCACGCGAAGAGGAGCAGUCAUCACCCGCUGAGGACCGCAGCACAACAUGAGGACUCUGACCAUCGCCCUCAGUCUGAUAACAGUUAUAGCCGAGACCCCAUCUGUGCCGCAAAAACCGAUUCCACUGAAGGCGUUUGAAGGGGGUGCGGUAAUGGUUGUGUGCCGAUCUGAAACGGGAAUGAAACCGAACUUCUUCUGCAAGGAUGGUGGAGGGCCAUGUGACUCUGUCGAGACUCCUCCUAAGAGCGGUAGCAGAUUAGUGCUGUGUGAUACGAUUAAAGGGCACUCCAACGUACUCCUGACGCACCUGACAGAGAACGAUUCUGGUGUAUAUCAGUGUGGAGUUGGGAAACAUCAACAUGGAUUAAAAAAUAUCACAUUCCGUUUGGAUGUGAAAAAAGAUCCGUCGUAUGGGAAAUCCAUCCAAAUCAAUGGCCACCCUGGUGAGAAUUCAACAGUCAGCUGCCAGUAUCCAGAUCAAAUGAAAAAAAACUUGAAGUACCUCUACAGAAGGUCUGAUUUGUCCAUCUGCUCGGAACUGAUCACAUCUGAGUCAGCCACAGAUGAGUCCAAGCCCAGCCCAUAUGUCAUGGUGGAUGAUAAAGAAGGGAGAUUUUUCAAUGUGACCAUCAGAAACAUGACCCUGGACGACACUGGGGAGUACUGGUGUGGCGUGGGAACUGGAACCAACACAGGCAGCAGGAACCUCCUGACAGUGGUGAAACUGCAUGUCAUUGGUAAGUGAACGCCUGUGUGUGUGUGUGUGUGACAGAUAGGGAGAGUGUGCGACUAGCCGGUGUAAUAAAGCUGGCGUGUGUGUGUGUGUGUGACA